GAGUAGGGAGGAAGGAGGGGGAGAGACAGAUUAGAGGAGGGAGAGAGGGUGGAGAGGAAGAAGAGAGGAGAGACAGAUUAGAGGAGGGGAGAGACAGGUUAGAGGAGAGGAGAGACAGGUUAGAGGAGGGAGAGAGGUUAAAGGAGUGAGAGAGGGGUUAGAGGAGAGGAGAGACAGGUUAGAGGAGGGAGAGACAGGUUAGAGGAGGGAGAGACAGGUUAGAGGAGGGAGAGACAGGUUAGAGGAGAGAGGGUUUAGAGGAGAGGAGAGAGGGGUUAGAGGAGAGGAGAGACAGGUUAGAGGAGGGAGAGACAGGUUAGAGGAGGGAGAGACAGGUUAGAGGAGGGAGAGACAGGUUAGAGGAGACAGGG
ensembl:lncRNA